UGAUGGGUCUGGCAGUGCCCAGUAAGAGGUUGUAUUGGUUGUUUAUUGAUGGGUCUGGCAGUGCCCAGUCUGUUUAUUGAUGGGUCUGGCAGUGCCCAGUAAGAGGUUGUAUUGGUUGUUUAUUGAUGGGUCUGGCAGUGCCCAGUCUGUUUAUUGAUGGGGCUGGCAGUGCCCAGUAAGAGGUUGUAUUGGUUGUUUAUUGAUGGGUCUGGCAGUGCCCAGUUAGAGGUUGUAUUGGUUGUUUAUUGAUGGGGCUGGCAGUGCCCAGUCUGUUUAUUGAUGGGUCUGGCAGUGCCCAGUAAGAGGUUGUAUUGGUUGUUUAUUGAUGGGUCUGGCAGUGCCCAGUCUGUUUAUUGAUGGGGCUGGCAGUGCCCAGUAAGAGGUUGUAUUGGUUGUUUAUUGAUGGGGCUGGCAGUGCCCAGUUAGAGGUUGUAUUGGUUGUUUAUUGAUGGGGCUGGCAGUGCCCAGUAAGAGGUUGUAUUGGUUGUUUAUUGAUGGGGCUGGCAGUGCCCCAGUAAGAGGUUGUAUUGGUUGUUUAUUGAUGGGGCUGGCAGUGCCCCAGUUAGAGGUUGUAUUGGUUGUUUAUUGAUGGGUCUGGCAGUGCCCCAGUAAGAGGUUGUAUUGGUUGUUUAUUGAUGGGGCUGGCAGUGCCCAGUCUGUUUAUUGAUGGGUCUGGCAGUGCCCAGUUAGAGGUUGUAUUGGUUGUUUAUUGAUGGGUCUGGCAGUGCCCCAGUAAGAGGUUGUAUUGGUUGUUUAUUGAUGGGGCUGGCAGUGCCCAGUAAGAGGUUGUAUUGGUUGUUUAUUGAUGGGUCUGGCAGUGCCCAGUAAGAGGUUGUAUUGGUUGUUUAUUGAUGGGGCUGGCAGUGCCCAGUAAGAGGUUGUAUUGGUUGUUUAUUGAUGGGGCUGGCAGUGCCCAGUCUGUUUAUUGAUGGGGCUGGCAGUGCCCAGUAAGAGGUUGUAUUGGUUGUUUAUUGAUGGGGCUGGCAGUGCCCAGUCUGAUGUUUAUUUAUGGGUCUGGCAGUGCCCAGUCUGUUUAUUGAUGGGUCUGGCAGUGCCCCAGUUAGAGUUGUAUUGGUUGUUUAUUGAUGGGGCUGGCAGUGCCCAGUAAGAGGUUGUAUUGGUUGUUUAUUGAUGGGGCUGGCAGUGCCCAGUCUGAUGUUUAUUUAUGGGUCUGGCAGUGCCCAGUCUGUUUAUUGAUGGGGCUGGCUGUGCCCAGUCUGUUUAUUGAUGGGGCUGGCAGUGCCCAGUCUGAUGUUUAUUUCUGGGGCUGGCAGUGCCCAGUCUGAUGUUUAU